rnacentral:rRNA from 1 species
GGUUAAGCGACUAAGCGUACACGGUGGAUGCCCCGGCAGUCAGAGGCGAUGAAGGACGUGCUAAUCUGCGAUAAGCGUCGGUAAGGUGAUAUGAACCGUUAUAACCGGCGAUUUCCGAAUGGGGAAACCCAGUGUGUUUCGACACACUAUCAUUAACUGAAUCCAUAGGUUAAUGAGGCGAACCGGGGGAACUGAAACAUCUAAGUACCCCGAGGAAAAGAAAUCAACCGAGAUUCCCCCAGUAGCGGCGAGCGAACGGGGAGCAGCCCAGAGCCUGAAUCAGUGUGUGUGUUAGUGGAAGCGUCUGGAAAGGCGCGCGAUACAGGGUGACAGCCCCGUACACAAAAAUGCACAUGCUGUGAGCUCGAUGAGUAGGGCGGGACACGUGGUAUCCUGUCUGAAUAUGGGGGACCAUCCUCCAAGGCUAAAUACUCCUGACUGACCGAUAGUGAACCAGUACCGUGAGGGAAAGGCGAAAAGAACCCCGGCGAGGGGAGUGAAAAAGAACCUGAAACCGUGUACGUACAAGCAGUGGGAGCACGCUUAGGCGUGUGACUGCGUACCUUUUGUAUAAUGGGUCAGCGACUUAUAUUCUGUAGCAAGGUUAACCGAAUAGGGGAGCCGAAGGGAAACCGAGUCUUAACUGGGCGUUAAGUUGCAGGGUAUAGACCCGAAACCCGGUGAUCUAGCCAUGGGCAGGUUGAAGGUUGGGUAACACUAACUGGAGGACCGAACCGACUAAUGUUGAAAAAUUAGCGGAUGACUUGUGGCUGGGGGUGAAAGGCCAAUCAAACCGGGAGAUAGCUGGUUCUCCCCGAAAGCUAUUUAGGUAGCGCCUCGUGAAUUCAUCUCCGGGGGUAGAGCACUGUUUCGGCAAGGGGGUCAUCCCGACUUACCAACCCGAUGCAAACUGCGAAUACCGGAGAAUGUUAUCACGGGAGACACACGGCGGGUGCUAACGUCCGUCGUGAAGAGGGAAACAACCCAGACCGCCAGCUAAGGUCCCAAAGUCAUGGUUAAGUGGGAAACGAUGUGGGAAGGCCCAGACAGCCGGGAUGUUGGCUUAGAAGCAGCCAUCAUUUAAAGAAAGCGUAAUAGCUCACUGGUCGAGUCGGCCUGCGCGGAAGAUGUAACGGGGCUAAACCAUGCACCGAAGCUGCGGCAGCGACACUAUGUGUUGUUGGGUAGGGGAGCGUUCUGUAAGCCUGUGAAGGUGUGCUGUGAGGCAUGCUGGAGGUAUCAGAAGUGCGAAUGCUGACAUAAGUAACGAUAAAGCGGGUGAAAAGCCCGCUCGCCGGAAGACCAAGGGUUCCUGUCCAACGUUAAUCGGGGCAGGGUGAGUCGACCCCUAAGGCGAGGCCGAAAGGCGUAGUCGAUGGGAAACAGGUUAAUAUUCCUGUACUUGGUGUUACUGCGAAGGGGGACGGAGAAGGCUAUGUUGGCCGGGCGACGGUUGUCCCGGUUUAAGCGUGUAGGCUGGUUUUCCGGGCAAAUCCGGAAAAUCAAGGCUGAGGCGUGAUGACGAGGCACUACGGUGCUGAAGCAACAAAUGCCCUGCUUCCGGGAAAAGCCUCUAAGCAUCAGGUAACAUCAAAUCGUACCCCAAACCGACACAGGUGGUCAGGUAGAGAAUACCAAGGCGCUUGAGAGAACUCGGGUGAAGGAACUAGGCAAAAUGGUGCCGUAACUUCGGGAGAAGGCACGCUGAUAUGUAGGUGAAGUCCCUCGCGGAUGGAGCUGAAAUCAGUCGAAGAUACCAGCUGGCUGCAACUGUUUAUUAAAAACACAGCACUGUGCAAACACGAAAGUGGACGUAUACGGUGUGACGCCUGCCCGGUGCCGGAAGGUUAAUUGAUGGGGUUAGCCGCAAGGCGAAGCUCUUGAUCGAAGCCCCGGUAAACGGCGGCCGUAACUAUAACGGUCCUAAGGUAGCGAAAUUCCUUGUCGGGUAAGUUCCGACCUGCACGAAUGGCGUAAUGAUGGCCGGGCUGUCUCCACCCGAGACUCAGUGAAAUUGAACUCGCUGUGAAGAUGCAGUGUACCCGCGGCAAGACGGAAAGACCCCGUGAACCUUUACUAUAGCUUGACACUGAACAUUGAGCCUUGAUGUGUAGGAUAGGUGGGAGGCUUUGAAGUGUGGACGCCAGUCUGCAUGGAGCCGACCUUGAAAUACCACCCUUUAAUGUUUGAUGUUCUAACGUUGACCCGUAAUCCGGGUUGCGGACAGUGUCUGGUGGGUAGUUUGACUGGGGCGGUCUCCUCCUAAAGAGUAACGGAGGAGCACGAAGGUUGGCUAAUCUCGGUCGGACAUCAGGAGGUUAGUGCAAUGGCAUAAGCCAGCUUGACUGCGAGCGUGACGGCGCGAGCAGGUGCGAAAGCAGGUCAUAGUGAUCCGGUGGUUCUGAAUGGAAGGGCCAUCGCUCAACGGAUAAAAGGUACUCCGGGGAUAACAGGCUGAUACCGCCCAAGAGUUCAUAUCGACGGCGGUGUUUGGCACCUCGAUGUCGGCUCAUCACAUCCACGGGGCUGAAGUAGGUCCCAAGGGUAUGGCUGUUCGCCAUUUAAAGUGGUACGCGAGCUGGGUUUAGAACGUCGUGAGACAGUUCGGUCCCUAUCUGCCGUGGGCGCUGGAGAACUGAGGGGGCUGCUCCUAGUACGAGAGGACCGGAGUGGACGCAUCACUGGUGUUCGGGUUGUCAUGCCAAUGGCACUGCCCGGUAGCUAAAUGCGGAAGAGAUAAGUGCUGAAAGCAUCUAAGCACGAAACUUGCCCCGAGAUGAGUUCUCCCUGACUCCUUGAGAGUCCUGAAGGAACGUUGAAGACGACGACGUUGAUAGGCCGGGUGUGUAAGCGCAGCGAUGCGUUGAGCUAACCGGUACUAAUGAACCGUGAGGCUUAACCUU